GAUGGAGCUGAGAGAGAGAGAGAGAGAGAGAGAGAAACAUAGAGCGAGAGAGAGUGUGAUAGAGGUGAACGGAGGAGGAAGAGGUUAGAGAAGGGAUCCACAUAUGCAUACAAUUGAUACAGAUAUACCAUCGUCUUUAUAUACGUGUCGCGUUAUUCUUGCUGCUGCCGCGCGCGGUAUACUGAGCCGGCAUAACACGAACGGCCCGAGCGGAGAGCGCCUCAUAGGCUACAAUACGAUAACGCCGCUCUCAUAGAUUCGAUGUAGCCAGCCGAACGAACCAGACUACCGGAUACCUGCGCGACCAUCCUCCGCCGCCUUAUUGCGCUGACUAUUCGCGACAGGACAGGUUCGCGUACAUCUGUUCUUGUCAUAAGGAGUGAUUUAGGGCUGGUUGCGGGCAUUGAUCUACCCGCCGCGGAGGAUAUCGACCGUAGAACUGCGGAUCUCCCUUUAAAAAAUCCAAGAUCGAACGUGUUCCAUUGAGCAACAACGUUUCAAUGCCAUUUUUCAGGGUAAUGUUGUAUGAUUUGAGGUUAAGUUAAUGGAAUAAGGAGAUAGCAGAGGAUUUCGGUAAAGUUUAAAGGUGAAGUCGACACAUAGAUUGCUUUUAUGUAGUAAUGGUGUUCGACUGCUCUGUUUUCAAUUCUAUGGCGUCUGCGAUAUCGAUAUCGAUUACAUCGAUUUUAUUUGUGUAACAGAAUUUUUGGUAGUAUCGUUUAGUGAAUUAUCUUUUAUUGUACGUGUUUUACGUGAGUAGUGUAAUAUUUUAAAGUGUUCACAACUUAACCUGGAUCUAACCUAAAAUUCGAUUCAUGUUUAUGACAUCUCUGACUGAUCUUUUGAUUAUAUCCAUUGUUACACCCGAGUCAGAAGAGAGGUAGGCCUGGCCACGUUGGUACCGCCUACUAGAGUGAUCCCGACAAGGAAGGACUUGACCAACCUCGUCCUGCCCCUCCAGCACGAUCCUCUACUCCUGGACUCAACCUGACGGGAUCACGUUCUGUGCCGUCGUUCCGAUUAAUUCUUUCGCUGUAAAGGGUGCACUCUUUGGCUGAUUCACCUGUCGCAAAGCGUAUUGGAGAUCGUUGAUGCCGUGGAAAGAGAAAUGGCGGCGGUUCAGGUUUAUGCAACCCAGAUAUAUUUAUCAUUCUUCCAGAAGAGUAAUUGCAAGUUUGGAGUAUCUACACGUCCAUCUACUCUUCCAGUGCAGAACUUGUCGAUUCAUUUAAAAUCCCUGGAGAAUGAGUUGGCCCAUUCAUAAGAGAUUGAAGAAUGCAUUUUCCUUGCUGCGGCGGCUUUUAAAAAGUCACUGGGUAUAUCGAGGGGGCCUAUAUACGUAUGUAAGCAUCGCAAGGCCCCCCACGGUGGGAUAAAGGCAGGCUCCACGACAGUAGCCAUGUACACCAUGGGUUAGACAAUGCCGCUCGCAUUAAUACACUUCAUAUUAGUCCGUUUUAAUGCGUGUUUGCCGGCCAUUGUGAAUGAGCGACACUGUUUAUCACCGACCCCCGUACGGCCCCCUACCCCCUGGGUCGGGGGGGAGGGCGCAUUUGUCUCGAGCCUGCUGGUGAUCGGGGGGAUAACAAAUCCGUAUACGCCGUAUUCAGUUUUUCAAUUCCUUCGUUCCCGUAUAUCUGGUUCACUCGAUUCCUACCGACCUCUACUUUCCACCAAACGUAAGUUGGUAUCGUCACUGGAGUAUGAAAAUUAGAAUUUCGAAGAGACGAUGAUUUAAGGGAUGGUCCUUUACUUGGAAGAUCUCAUCGUUGAAUUUUGGAUAAGAUUUUGUCAGUGUUCUUUUCCAAUUGGUUCUAACCCUCGAGCAACCGCAAUGAUUCCGUACAACUUCAAACGAAAUUUUGCAUGAUACGUAUGAAUAUGUUUCAUCUGAUUAUGUUAGCACAAAGGAAAAUUGAUUUUCUUUUAACAAGUUUAUAAAAAUCUGUAUUAGAUGAGUUAAUUGUCGGAUUGUCGAAGUCCAAUGGUAUUUUUAAUUUAACUUAAAAACAUAGAAACUGCUUCUACGAUCCAAUUUUGCGAUUAAUGUCGAUAUGUAAAUAG